rnacentral:rRNA from 1 species
CGGACGGAGGAUUUAUUUCGGUGAUUCUUACUGGCGAACGGGUGAGUAACGCGUAGGCAACCUGCCCUUUGGAUGGGGACAACAUUCCGAAAGGAGUGCUAAUACCGAAUGUGAUCCAUUUCUCGCAUGAGAGAUGGAUGAAAGAUGGCCUCUAUUUAUAAGCUAUCGCCAAAGGAUGGGCCUGCGUCUGAUUAGUUAGUUGGUGGGGUAACGGCUCACCAAUACGAUGAUCAGUAGCCGGGCUGAGAGGAUGAAGGGCCACAUUGGGACUGAGACACGGCCCAAACUCCUACGGGAGGCAGCAGUGGGGAAUCUUCCGCAAUGGACGAAAGUCUGACGGAGCAACGCCGCGUGAGUGAUGAAGGUUUUCGGACUGUAAAACUCUGUUGUCAGGGACGAAGGUGCGAUCUGCGAAUAGUUGAUCGUAUUGACGGUACCUGACGAGGAAGCCACGGCUAACUACGUGCCAGCAGCCGCGGUAAUACGUAGGUGGCAAGCGUUGUCCGGAAUUAUUGGGCGUAAAGAGCAUGUAGGUGGGCUUUUAAGUCCGAUGUGAAAAUGCGGGGCUCAACCCCGUAUGGCAUUGGAUACUGGAAGUCUUGAGUGCAGGAGAGGAAAGGGGAAUUCCCAGUGUAGCGGUGAAAUGCGUAGAUAUUGGGAGGAACACCAGUGGCGAAGGCGCCUUUCUGGACUGUGUCUGACACUGA